rnacentral:lncRNA from 1 species
AAGAAACACAUACUACUCUAUUUAUUUAGAUUAUAAUCAAAUAAAGCCCGUUUAGUACAAUUAUGUGUUACAUUUUCUUUCUUCUAAAGCAAUCAAAAUAUCACCAUAAAUUAUUAAUCAAAAAAAAAAAAAUUAUUAAUCAAACCAUGUCGCUAUUGAUAAUUGGUGAGGUCGUGAAAUUAUCGUCGACAAAUCAAAAAGUAACUUCUAAUGUAACUUUUUCAUAUGUCAAAGUAAUCAAUAUCUUCUACGGAACUUAUAAUCCAAUAUGCAUAGUUUCACACUUUCACUCAUAAUAAUAAUACAGUACAAAGACAAAAUACAACCGGAUAAAAACAAACAAC